ACAGAAUGUUUUUGUAGAUAAACCAGCAUUUCCGGAGUAUAAAGUUUCUGAUGCAAAAAAGUCCAAAUUCAUACUUUUGCAUUUUAGCACUUUUAAAGCUGGCUGGGACUGGCUUAUUUUGUUGGCAACGUUUUAUGUUGCUGUGACUGUACCUUACAACGUUUGCUUUAUUGGCAAUGACGACCUGUCCACAACUCGGAGCACAACCGUCAGUGACAUUGCAGUGGAGAUUCUUUUUAUUAUAGAUAUUAUUUUAAAUUUCCGAACAACUUAUGUCAGCAAGUCUGGCCAAGUUAUCUUUGAAGCAAGAUCAAUUUGCAUCCACUAUGUCACAACCUGGUUCAUCAUUGAUUUAAUCGCUGCCCUGCCUUUUGAUCUUCUGUAUGCUUUCAACGUCACAGUGUUGGGAGGUUGAUAGUGCCAACAUCUUUAAAACGUUUAUGACUCAACUGAAAGGAAAGCUCCCAGGAAAAAUCUAGUGUCUCUCGUGCAUCUUCUAAAGACAGUGCGCCUCUUGCGUCUUUUGCGUCUGCUGCAGAAGUUAGACCGCUAUUCCCAACACAGUACUAUCGUCCUGACUCUGCUCAUGUCCAUGUUUGCACUCCUUGCACACUGGAUGGCGUGUAUCUGGUACGUCAUUGGAAAAAUGGAG
rnacentral:sRNA from 1 species